UGGUCUUAUUGCAUAUGAAUUUUGUAUUUUGAAUGAUGUCACUUACUGCUCAUGUAAUUUAUUCUUGCAAGAGGAAUCAGAUCCCUGAGAGAUCUAUUUCUAUGGCAUCUGUAUGGCAGAUUCUUGAUUGUCUCUCCCGUGGAAGUUAUUAUGAGAUUGUUUGUAGAGGUUAUUCCUUUUCCAAACUACAUUUUUUAUGUUCACCACAGUUCAAACCUUAAUUUGGUAGCUUAAGACUAAUUUAUGUUGAAUAUCAGUAUCUUUUCUUUGAUAAGGUAUUUUAUUAAUGUUGGGAAAAUCAGCUGAUUGUAUUUUAUGCUUUUUAGUCUUGUCAGAUGCAGAUUUAGUUCAUCAUGAGCCACAAGUUAAACCCUUGUUGCAUGUUUUAUUUUCACAUAAUGUGGGUAUAUCAUUAAAUCUUAGAGUUAGAUUCACCAGUAGGUAAGGCUCGGCAUGCCCUAAUGUAUCUCUUUAUUUUUAGUGUAGUUUUCUCUUUUCCAUUUGACUCUUGAGAGUAAAUGCUGAAUUCUGUUGCUGCUUUAGAGUUAUUCGUACACUUUUGCUAUUUAAGCAAUAUGACUGGGACACGUCGGAAGAAAACUGUUAGUAUUGGCUUUUUCCCCUAAGAAUUUGCUGCCGACGUGUUUGUGUUCAGGGAACCCUUUGGCAUAGACUCAAUAGAUUGUGUUAGUUGGCACGUUUCUUGAAGAUUGAUUAAUAUUAGGUUAUUAGUUUUGCGUUGAGUUCAUUCUUGUGCUGCACGGUUGUAAGACUGGCAAGGUUAUAUGAUAGUGAAUAUUGAACUUCUAAUCUCCAACAUAUCUACAAGGCGAGUGCCAUAGAAAUGUGGAUGUUAAGAUUAUUUGUGCAGUAAACACGAUCAGAAAUGAUUACAUUUAGCAAUAAGUGCAAGUAACACAUAUAGAAGAUAAAAUGUUGAGACUGUCUUUUGAGACGGUUUGUUCAUGACCUACAUUGGCCUCCCUAGGCACCGGUCUGUAGGUGUAAAACCAUGGUGAUUGUCGGUGUUAAAAAGUGGCUGAGAUACAACUAAAAUUACAUGGAAGGAGAUUUGUUCCAAAAGAUGAACAAUCUCUUGAAAUCUAUAUAGAAUUAACGAAGAAUAGGGCAUAAUGGAAGAAAAGGGUUCAUACUAGGUGAUACUAAUUACGUAGUUGGAUGAGGUUUAGUCAUGUUUGUACAUUACCUUAGGUCCAAAAUUAGAAAUGUUCUUUUGUGCAGUCCAAUGUCACCGAGCUUCCCUUCUUUACAUCCAGUUAAGACUUGGGGAAAUGGAAUGGAGGAAGUCCUAGGGUUGGUCCCACUUUCAGGCUAUUAGAAGAAAGGAUGUAGACUCUCUUAAGUAGGAGCUGCUCUCUUCCAUUGAGAAGGUAAUCAAGAUUGCUAGUGAGGAUUAAAAAACAAAAUUAUGAAUAAUUUUCCAGAGUGACAGUUUUUGAAUCAUUCGGGCAUUUGUGUUGUAUCCUUUGCGAGUUUCCUGCAUCCGCAGGCAUAGAUUUAGCUCUUAUUCAAAAGUAUCUGUAGAUGUGCACAUACAGAUCGAGAAAAUAAUGAUUGUUAAACUUGUGGUGAUGUAUUUGCCAUAGUGUGGGGUGUUAUUAUCUUGUGAAGCGUUUUCCUUGUGGGUUGAAGCAGACACUUGAUGUGAGAUGAAGAAUGUUCAUAAUGAAUUACUCUAUUGUAAUUCGUCCUAAAAGAAUGUUUGGAAUGAGUCUUUUAGUCUCGUAGAGAUGUACAAGCUAGUAAUGAAUGUAAAUAGCUUCAGGUGUAAGAGAACUUAAAUUUUUAAAUAUUGGAUUGAGACAGGUCUAAAUGGAUUCAUAUAUUUGACCUCAGCUAACUUAGGGUUGAGUCAUAGUUAUUGUGGUUGCUAUAUUAUGUAUCAAGUUAGUGUUUUAGACAAGAGUUACCACUUACAAAUAGGGAAUGUUCCGUAAAGAUAUUGGUUAUGCGGGGACCUUUCCGGAUCAUCCGUAUCUUGUGAUUUUGAGUUACGGUUACAUCUUUACCCGCAUUGAUAUUUUUCCUUUCAUGUAAGAGCCUUGUUUUGGUUAAUGUUUUAGACUGAAAGCUUUGUCUUGUUUCUUAAAAUUGCAUGUAUUCUCCUGGUGAGUUGUUUUAUUUGAAGUUUUAAUCGUAGACGUGAUAUGUGUGAUUUGGCAUGAGAAACUCUUGGUAGUUCUUUGAUCUUACUAUUCUGUGUUCUGUUCUUUGUUGGAUAUACUAAAAUAAAUGCUAGCAGUUUGAUGGAGGAUUGUAUGCAUCUUUUUCAUUUAUCAAUGUAUUUUCAUGUUUAGUUACAUAGCCUCCCCAGGGUUUGGAUUGGUAAACCUUGGUUGCUCGACGUCAAUACACAAGGAUGAUAUCAGUUCACAUGAGUUGCAUGGAUCAAAUUGGCAGCAACCUGAGUGCUGACGACUAAUCAGGUGUAAGUAUGAGAUGCCUGCUGUGUCAGUUCCUUCUCUCGUUCCAGUGCAUCGUCACAUCUCCUCAUGCAUAGCAUGCGUCUCUGCAGUUUCAUGAUCUUGCACCAUGUAAAAACUUGUGCUGUAGAUGUUGUCUUGAGCUGUAGAUGUAAAGAGUGAAAAUGUACCACAUAAGGGGGGGUUAAUCACCUUCAAAUCGUGGCAAAAAGUUGUUACGAAUCCUGACUUUCCCUGACUUGUGCAUCAUUUCCGAUCAGAUGAUCCAUUAAUCCGACUAAUGGAAUUUGGAGGAUUAUAAAUGGAUUGAUUUUAUUUUUUUUAAAAUUCCAUUGGGAGAUUCAACAUGUUACUUUUUCUGCUUGCUUUGACAUGUAUCAUUCUUGGUGUCUGCACCUACUACCAGAUAGCUUUGGGAUCGAGGUUCUGCGGUGUUGCACUGUUGAUAAAUGAUUUGAAUGUUAAAUCUGGUACUUUUCGCUGUGAAAGCGAACAAAAUUGAACAUUUCUGUGAACUUAUAUUUUACUGGUUUACAGAUUUUUAUUUGUGUUUCUGUUGGGUAUGAGUAUCUUGUUUCG
rnacentral:lncRNA from 1 species